CCAAGGAGUCUAACAUGUAUGCGAGUCAUUGGGCUCUACGAAACCCACAGGCGGAAUGAAAGUGAAGGGCGGUGUCGGCCGCCAGGAGGUGGGAUCCCUCUCUUCGGGAGGGGGCGCACCACCGGCCCGUCUCAUACCCGGCGCUGUUGCGGGAGGCGGAGCUAGAGCAUACACGUUGGGACCCGAAAGAUGGUGAACUAUGCCUGAGCAGGUUGAAGCCAGAGGAAACUCUGGUGGAGGACCGUAGCGAUUCUGACGUGCAAAUCGAUCGUCAAACUUGGGUAUAGGGGCGAAAGACUAAUCGAACCGUCU
rnacentral:rRNA from 1 species